rnacentral:lncRNA from 1 species
GUAGAACACUCUAGCCUGCCCAUCUGAGUUCUACCCACUCCACUGUCCCACAGCCACCCCUUGGCAACAUCUCAGACCAAGGGUACCUGGUAGGUAUAGUCAGCCAUCAGGACAAAGCCAGAAAAGUCCAUGCAGACUUUGGAACCUGCUCAUGGCUACUGGGCAGGGAAUUCUAGGCCCUGCUACUGGAUAUAGUCUAGAAAGGGAAUGAGCUCUAGGUGAACUUGUCCC